GAAAUGCGAUAAGUAAUGUGAAUUGCAGAAUUCAGUGAAUCAUCGAGUCUUUGAACGCACAUUGCGCCCGCCAGCACUCUGGCGGGCAUGCCUGUUCGAGCGUCAUUUCAACCCUCAGAACCCCUUGCGGGAUCUGGCGUUGGGGAUUGGCAUCCAGCCAGCCCCGAAAUCUAGUGGCGGUCCCUCCGCGACCUCCCCUGUGCAGUAGCGAUACCUCGCAGCGGGACAGCGGUCUUACCACGCCGUAAAACCCCCAACUUCUCAAGGUUGACCUCGAAUCAGGUAGGAAUACCCGCUGAACUUAAGC
rnacentral:misc_RNA from 1 species